GCAUAUCAAUAAGCGGAGGAAAAGAAACCAACCGGGAUUGCCUUAGUAACGGCGAAGUGAAGCGGCAAAAGCUCAAAUUUGAAAUCUGGCGCCUUUGGUGUCCGAGUUGUAAUUUGAAGAAAGUAACUUUUGGAAUGAGCCUUGCAUAAGUUCCUUGGAAAAGGACGUCAUAGAGGGUGAGAAUCCCGUAUAUGGUGGGGUAUUCAUUUCAAUGUAAAGUGCUUUCGAAGAGUCGAGUUGUUUGGGAAUGCAGCUCUAAGUGGGUGGUAAAUUCCAUCUAAAGCUAAAUAUUGGCGAGAGACCGAUAGCGAACAAGUACAGUGAUGGAAAGAUGAAAAGAACUUUGAAAAGAGAGUGAAAAAGUACGUGAAAUUGUUGAAAGGGAAGGGCUUGAAAUCAGACUUGGUAUUCAGUGAUCAGCGAUCUCUCGGGGUUGUGCACUUGCUGUUUACUGGGCCAGCAUCGGUUUUGACGGUGGGAUAAUAGCAUUGGAAUGUGGCUCUCUUCGGGGAGUGUUUAUAGCCUUUGUUGAUAUCACCAGUUGAGACCGAGGACCGCGCAUUUUUUGCUAGGAUGCUGGCGUAAUGAUUUUAAGCCACCCGUCUUGAAACACGGACCAAGGAGUCUAACGUCUAUGCGAGUGUUUGGGUGUAAAACCCGUACGCGUAAUGAAAGUGAACGUAGGUGAGGGCCCUCACGGGUGCAUCAUCGACCGAUCCUGAUGUUUUCGGAUGGAUUUGAGUAAGAGCAUAGCUGUUGGGACCCGAAAGAUGGUGAACUAUGCCUGAAUAGGGUGAAGCCAGAGGAAACUCUGGUGGAGGCUCGUAGCGGUUCUGACGUGCAAAUCGAUCGUCAAAUUUGGGUAUAGGGGGCGAAAGACUAAUCGAACCAUCUAGUAGCUGGUUCCUGCGA
rnacentral:rRNA from 1 species